AGGGCUAUAGCUCUGUCGUAGAGCAUCUGCUUUGCACACAGAAAGCCCCAGGUUCACUCCCUGGCGUCUCUA